GACAGUGGAACUCCAUGUGUAGCGGUGAAAUGCGUAGAUAUAUGGAAGAACACCAGUGGCGAAGGCGGCUGUCUGGUCUGUAACUGACGCUGAGGCUCGAAAGUAUGGGUAGCAAACAGGAUUAGAUACCCUGGUAGUCCAUACCGUAAACGAUGAAUGCUAAGUGUUGGAGGGUUUCCGCCCUUCAGUGCUGCAGCUAACGCAUUAAGCAUUCCGCCUGGGGAGUACGGCCGCAAGGCUGAAACUCAAAGGAAUUGACGGGGGCCCGCACAAGCGGUGGAGCAUGUGGUUUAAUCGAAGCUACGCGAAGAACCUUACCAGGUCUUGACAUACUAUGCAAAUCUAAGAGAUUAGACGUUCCCUUCGGGGACAUGGAUACAGGUGGUGCAUGGUUGUCGUCAGCUCGUGUCGUGAGAUGUUGGGUUAAGUCCCGCAACGAGCGCAACCCUUAUUAUCAGUUGCCAGCAUUAAGUUGGGCACUCUGGUGAGACUGCCGGUGACAAACCGGAGGAAGGUGGGGAUGACGUCAAAUCAUCAUGCCCCUUAUGACCUGGGCUACACACGUGCUACAAUGGAUGGUACAACGAGUUGCGAACUCGCGAGAGUAAGCUAAUCUCUUAAAGCCAUUCUCAGUUCGGAUUGUAGGCUGCAACUCGCCUACAUGAAGUCGGAAUCGCUAGUAAUCGCGGAUCAGCAUGCCGCGGUGAAUACGUUCCCGGGCCUUGUACACACCGCCCGUCACACCAUGAGAGUUUGUAACACCCAAAGUCGGUGGGGUAG
rnacentral:rRNA from 1 species